CUUGCUAAUUGCCUGCAGUGGAUGUGAAUGAGAGAGGCCAGGAUAUAUGUUUGGGGGUCUCACCAGUGCUUCCCAGAGACCCCCUCUUCCCAUCCUGUAGCAAGUGUAGCCCCAGUUUCCCUAACUCUGACCCAUGACUCUCCCUUCACCUGCAGGAUCUGCAUAGGGUCUUGCCAGACCUCCUGGAUGCCAUUCUGGGGAACCUGCUGGCAGAGUCCCCAGACAUCAACAGGCUCCACUACAUCUUGGAGCACAUUAACUACUGGAUUGUGUCCAGGGUGUCAUGAGAGAGAGCCUGGGCCAUUAGGAGCAGCACGACCCUGCUCAGAUUCACCAUCACCCUCCCUGAGUUCAACAACUCAGCCGAAUUCCCUAGGAUGGGUCACCACAUGGUACAGCUGACUCUGUUUGUCGGUGACCCAUCCAAGGACAUCAGCUGGCAGGCCAUGGAGCGGGUUUACUGGCUCUACCAGCUGCUGCUGCACCAGAGGGGCCUGACCAUCCAUGAGGCUGAAGACUUGUGGGUCUGGGACUGGCACCAGGACAGCAGACUCCUGGGCUACAAGAACACAGCCAGGGUGGGGAAGCUGUCUUCCAGGCCCUGGGAUCUGGCACAGCCUCCCAGACGGGCGCAUCCUGUAGCUGAGCCAUGUCAGGAAGCA